UACAGAGGGGGCAAGCGUUGUUCGGAAUUACUGGGCGUAAAGGGCGCGUAGGCGGCCUUCUAAGUCGAACGUGAAAUCCCCGGGCUCAACCCGGGAACUGCGUCCGAUACUGGAAGGCUUGAAUCCGGGAGAGGGAUGCGGAAUUCCUGGUGUAGCGGUGAAAUGCGCAGAUAUCAGGAAGAACACCCGUGGCGAAGGCGGCUCUCUGGGACGGUACUGACGCUGAGACGCGAAAGCGUGGGGAGCAAACAGG
rnacentral:rRNA from 1 species